rnacentral:rRNA from 1 species
UAGAGUUUGAUCCAUGCUCAGAUUGAACGCUGGCGGCAGGCCUAACACAUGCAAGUCGAGCGGAUGAAAGGAGCUUGCUCCUGGAUUCAGCGGCGGACGGGUGAGUAAUGCCUAGGAAUCUGCCUGGUAGUGGGGGACAACGUUUCGAAAGGAACGCUAAUACCGCAUACGUCCUACGGGAGAAAGCAGGGGACCUUCGGGCCUUGCGCUAUCAGAUGAGCCUAGGUCGGAUUAGCUAGUUGGUGAGGUAAUGGCUCACCAAGGCGACGAUCCGUAACUGGUCUGAGAGGAUGAUCAGUCACACUGGAACUGAGACACGGUCCAGACUCCUACGGGAGGCAGCAGUGGGGAAUAUUGGACAAUGGGCGAAAGCCUGAUCCAGCCAUGCCGCGUGUGUGAAGAAGGUCUUCGGAUUGUAAAGCACUUUAAGUUGGGAGGAAGGGCAGUAAAUUAAUACUUUGCUGUUUUGACGUUACCGACAGAAUAAGCACCGGCUAA